rnacentral:rRNA from 1 species
GUAGGGUGCGAGCGUUAAUCGGAAUUACUGGGCGUAAAGCGAGCGCAGGCGGUUAUACAAGACAGGCGUGAAAUCCCCGGGCUUAACCUGGGAAUGGCGCCUGUGACUGUAUAGCUAGAGUGUGUCAGAGGGGGGUAGAAUUCCACGUGUAGCAGUGAAAUGCGUAGAUAUGUGGAGGAAUACCAAUGGCGAAGGCAGCCCCCUGGGAUAACACUGACGCUCAUGCACGAAAGCGUGGGGAGCAAACAGGAUUAGAUACCCUGGUAGUCCACGCCCUAAACGAUGCUGACUAGUUGUU